UAGGGAAUCUUCCACAAUGGACGCAAGUCUGAUGGAGCAACGCCGCGUGAGUGAAGAAGGCUUUCGGGUCGUAAAACUCUGUUGUUGGAGAAGAAUGGUCGGCAGAGUAACUGUUGUCGGCGUGACGGUAUCCAACCAGAAAGCCACGGCUAACUACGUGCCAGCAGCCGCGGUAAUACGUAGGUGGCAAGCGUUAUCCGGAUUUAUUGGGCGUAAAGCGAGCGCAGGCGGUUUUUUAAGUCUGAUGUGAAAGCCCUCGGCUUAACCGAGGAAGCGCAUCGGAAACUGGGAAACUUGAGUGCAGAAGAGGACAGUGGAACUCCAUGUGUAGCGGUGAAAUGCGUAGAUAUAUGGAAGAACACCAGUGGCGAAGGCGGCUGUCUGGUCUGUAACUGACGCUGAGGCUCGAAAGCAUGGGUAGCGAACAGGAUUAGAUACCCUGGUAGUCCAUGCCGUAAACGAUGAAUGCAUAGG
rnacentral:rRNA from 1 species